rnacentral:rRNA from 1 species
AAUCUUCUGCAAUGGACGAGAGUCUGACGGAGCGACGCCGCGUGAGUGAUGAAGGUCUUCGGACCGUAAAACUCUGUGGUUAGGGUAGAACAAGUAUCGUCCGAAUAAGUCGGUAACUUGACGGUACCUAACCAGAAAGCCCCGGCUAAUGACGUUCCAGCAGCCGCGGUAAUACGUAGGGGGCGAGCGUUGUCCGGAAUUAUUGGGCGUAAAGGGCGCGCAGGCGGUCUUCUAAGUCUGAUGUGAAAUCUCGUAGCGUAACUACGGGCGGUCAUUGGAAACUGGGAGACUUGAGGACAGAAGAGGAGAGUGGAAGUCCACGUGUAGCGGUGAAAUGCGUAGAGAUGUGGAGGAACACCAGUGGCGAAGGCGACUCUCUGGUCUGUAACUGACGCUGAGGCGCGAAAGCGUGGGGAGCGAAC